rnacentral:rRNA from 1 species
UACAGGGGGUGCAAACGUUGCUCGGAAUCAUUGGGCGUAAAGCGCACGUAGGUGGUCACUUAAGUCGGAUGUGAAAUCCCUCGGCUCAACUGAGGAAGUGCAUCCGAAACUGAGCGGCUAGAGUAUGGUAGAGGGUCGCGGAAUUCCCGGUGUAGAGGUGAAAUUCGUAGAUAUCGGGAGGAACACCAGUGGCGAAGGCGGCGCCUGGGCCAAUAC